UGGGGAAUUUUGGACAAUGGGCGAAAGCCUGAUCCAGCAAUGCCGCGUGUGUGAAGAAGGCCUUCGGGUUGUAAAGCACUUUUGUCCGGAAAGAAAUCCUUGGCUCUAAUACAGUCGGGGGAUGACGGUACCGGAAGAAUAAGCACCGGCUAACUACGUGCCAGCAGCCGCGGUAAUACGUAGGGUGCAAGCGUUAAUCGGAAUUACUGGGCGUAAAGCGUGCGCAGGCGGUUUGCUAAGACCGAUGUGAAAUCCCCGGGCUCAACCUGGGAACUGCAUUGGUGACUGGCAGGCUAGAGUAUGGCAGAGGGGGGUAGAAUUCCACGUGUAGCAGUGAAAUGCGUAGAGAUGUGGAGGAAUACCGAUGGCGAAGGCAGCCCCCCUGGGCCAAUACUGACGCUCAUGCACGAAAGCGUGGGGGAGCAAACAGGAUUAGAUACCCUGGUAGUCCACGCCCUAAACGAUGUCAACUAGUUGUUGGGGAUUCAUUUCCUUAGUAACGUAGCUAACGCGUGAAGUUGACCGCCUGGGGGAGUACGGUCGCAAGAUUAAAACUCAAAGGAAUUGACGGGGUCAUAGCUGUUUCCU
rnacentral:rRNA from 1 species